CUGGUCUUCCAAAUUAAGCCAAAAUCGUGUGCCACUCCCAGGGCAUAUCUUGAGUCCGUAUAAAUGUUGACGCGUAGACCUUCGGACAGUUUGCAGGCCACAGUCAAGGCUGUUAACUCGGCCUCUUGGGCGGACUUAGUUGGUUGUAGGGCAGCUGCUUGUAAUAUUUGACAUCCUGUGGUGACUGCAUAUCCAGUGUGAUAUUGUCCUUGUUCAUCAGCAAACCUUGAGCCAUC